UAAGAUAAUUUUAUUACGAAAAAGAAAAUUAUAAAUUGCUUUCUCUCUCUGUAGAAUAUAUCUACGAGUAGUAAUUUAACAUUAUGGUGUUACAUCGUUGAAUAUUAUAUAAAUCUAGGUGAAAGAUGUGGACGGUCUGAAAUUCAUGAAAGCUGACAUUAAAAGUGGUCUUUAUCUCUCUACCGUUCAUCUUUUCGCAAUGUGUUCUUUACGCUAUUUCUGUGUAUAUAGAAAAUAACGUAGCACAUAUUUGUGAUGCAGCGAAUUUAACAAGAAAAAGGAGUGCUUUUAAUAAAGCACGUUUGCACGUGGUCAUCGGCAAUAAGUAUUCCUGUGCGGUAAGUUCAGGUCGUGUACCCCUGAAGGAAGGCAUUGUUCCAGGGUCGAGUUUCCGCGAAACUGCGUGGGCGGACUAACUGCAUUUCUCGCGCGUGACACACGCGAAAUACUCGAACACAUUGUGCGCAUAGAGUCUCUCUAACUUAGUUCCAACCUUCUUCUGUAUGCUGUUCAAGAGACUGAUCAAAGAGAUGAGAGAGAAACGCAGGAAGAAGACUCUUGGUAGGCUUCCUCGCCCACGUCUCUGCAUUUCUGUGACUUUUUUUUUAUUUUCCCUUCCAGAGGUGAAUAUCUCAUGGAACUCAUUGUUUCUAGGUGUGACUCGAAUUCUUUGGAUUCCCUCUUUCUUCCUACCUUCUCGCCUCGCUGUCCGUGCAAGUCCUAUUUAAAAACACGUUCUGCCUGUAACGUAUUUUUAAACGAAAGUGGACAAUGUUCGCGAAACGGUGUCCGCCGUGACGUUCACUGGGAGACAAAGAACACAAAGGGAGCUUGACCGAAUCUUGGUUCGCCAACCUACUUCGAUCAAAGGUACAACUAGGUUACCUUGCCGGAGGUUGUGCAACACUGGUAGGUUGUAAUCCAAUUGUGAGAGCACACGUGUACCUAUAUUGUACAUGCAUAGGCGGAUAUGGAUACGCAGUCUGCGCUUUGAAAAUCCAGUUUUUGAAAAAAAGAAAAAGGAAAACAACAAGAGAUAAUAUCCACGCGUAUUGAGUGAAGAAAAGUACUAAGGCCGAUAUUUUGAGCCAUAUUUGUCGAAUACAGAGGAGAAAGAAGAAACGACGAUGUUCAUCGAAGUCACAUAAAGUUCGCCAACUUCGUUAACCCGUUUUUCCUACGGACUGUAGAAAAUAACGAUCGGCAUCUGGCAAGGUCGAUGGCGUCAACGACAGCCGGUAGACGUUUGAGAAACGGAAGGCCACUUUCCCUUUCUCUUCGCUGCUCGACAAUACUUUCAGAUACUUUUCGACCUAUGUUUCAAUGAAGUACUAUGAAAGAAUGUAUCAAAGCGUUUCAAGCAAGUAUCGUUUGCAGCAGUUAUCUUUCGCAGCAAGUAAUAAUUUGUUACAAAAAAUAUGACACGCAUACUAGAAAAAGUUGAAACGCUCAAGAGAAGUAUUUCUAACGCGCGUUUUUUUCUUAAAUUAUUUAUUUAAUUAACAAUUGGUGUCCCAGUUUUAAUCGGAAAUUGACAGGACGAUUUAAUUUUGACCUAAAAUCAUGUAUUCCUACCGCUUCAUCUCAAUGUGUUGGCCAUUUCAGGAAAGGAUUACGCAAUUACCCAUAUUAUGUGUAAAUACUUACUCUCACCUCGCCUCGCUUGCCCUCUUGUGUCCCGUAAAGCAUUUCAGCUGUGCGUAUUUGCAAUAAGGUUAAACUCUAGUGACAUUUUGGACGACUUUCACCGAUCGGGCCGACAUGGAAGCCUGCUUUCUUCAUCUUUUUGUCUUUUCGUCCUGGCGCAGAGAGACGACGGCGGUCUUCAACACUUUUCAACUGGACUAGGACAGUGAACAGAUCUUUGGAAUAGAACCACGCUCUUCUCUGUAUGAGAAAACCUGAUUACGUUAAUAUCGACGUACAAUGUAACUGUAUAUAACGCGUUACAGAAAAUACACUUUCAUUGGAACUUUGCCGGAUCCAUUUUACUUUAAAAACGAUAAUCUCGAAUGUUGAAACUAAGCAGUAAGAAGUACGUUGCCUGUAUGUAUGAAAUCAGAGAAGAAAAGGCUCGUGUGUACGAUUUUCGGCCAUCAUCUUCCAGCAUAAGUGAUGUUGACUUGAUAAAUUUUUGGACGAUCCUCCCGAAGCUUUUCCAAACCUCAGAAAGUUUGCACAAAAAUACCCAGUACUUAUAGACGUGAACACUUUUUCCUUUAUUAAAAAUUAACCGAUCGAGAACGACCGAUGAGAAUUUAAAGAAUUCUCGCUACACUAAACAAAGUCAACUCUCUCAAGAGAUAUAAAUAAUUUGGUCAAGAACAAACAGGCUCAUAAAUCCCAUUAAAAACGGCGCAUCGGAACUCAUUUUUUAGAAAAAAAUUGUCACGUACGACAGAAGAGUUUGGCCACCCCUGUCUCAAAAGAUCACCAGACGUACGAUCCACGCGUGUGUGUUGGAUAAUUGUUCGCUUAAAUAAUCGCAUGCAUGCGAGAGUCGACGCCACGUAAGUGCUUGGAACCGACCGCGACGUGGAGAACGACGGAUACCUGUGGAAUAUCUAGGGCGCAGCGCGAAGUGGUUCUCCUUGGGCAACCGAUGCCGCAUUCCGACCUAUGCAUCUGCUGCCAGUUCCUUUUCCCCUUGUUUCUCUCCAUCUUUUCACUGCUUUUCCUUAUUCUUUUCACUUUCGUUCCGUCGCCAGUUGAACCUCGAGAGAUGCUUUGGACACGUAUGUACAAACGUUGCUCCGUACGAUCAAUUGCUCAUCGUCGAAUUUUAACCCUUUGCCCUCGACAAAUUUUCUUUCACGUAUCAUCUACUAGCAGUUUAUUCUUAUUACGAACUUUGGAAAUAAUCCAUUCAAGUGGUACUUAACGCGAAUUUGGUUAAUUAUAUCUUUCUAACAUGUCGAUAUCUUUAAAUUUAAAGCAAUCAUUAACGUGCAUUGCUAGAACAAGUAUAAUAUACAAGAGUUAACGAUACAUACAGUUUCAACAGUUUCAUAGAAAAAUAAUAUCCUUCACCUUUUUUUUUUAAAGUUCUAAACAUUCGUAAGAAGCAAUAAGAAGUCUAGUUUAUGAAUUAUCGAGUGUCAGUUGACUCAGGACUGUCUUCAGAAGUUUCUUCUUUCUGAAAUUCUUUUGUUCUUCUUACGUCGUUGUUAUAGUUUUCACUCUAGGGAUCUGUACAGAUGUUAUACUAAAAUACAUUGCAUCAUACAACACCAAAUGUAUACGUUCAUUAUAAUUAUCAUUAUCAGCAAAUUA